rnacentral:lncRNA from 1 species
GUUUUUUCUAACUACAAGGACAUUCCUACUUGAUAUAUUAAUUCUUAAGGUAUACCAUCAAUUUAAAAUAUUAUACAUCUACUUAACAUCUUCUUUACUUAUUCUUUACUAUGCUUAUUAGGCAUAGCUUGAAGAAGCCUGAUUUUUUUUCAGAGGCUGGGAACUCAAAAGCUCAAUUUAAAACAUCUGUUUAAAUUUUUACCAGAGGUUAUACAUUAAAUGAAAUACUCCACUGACAUUUUAUUUUCAUUUACUUCUUUCUAAAUAUCCAAACCAUUCUGGCACAGGACUACAUGGACCACAUAAAGCUUUCUAGCCUGAAGUGUCCCUUUUAAACCUUCUUCUGACAUUAUAUGGGGGUGUGAAAAGCAGCAGUUUGUCUCCAUGGAAGAUUCUGUCUGACUUCUUUAGAAACUAACAGACUGACCUGUGGAUCCACUUUGAGCCAUACAAAUUUUAGGAGACUUUUUUCAAGAAGAACAGAACACCUUCUGUGUGGAGGCUUUGUAUAUCUGCAUUCCCAUACCUUCCUACUCCCAUCACCCCCUUGUCAGCAUGAGUCUUUCAACAGCUCAACAGCUCCUAGCUCUGGAACCCAACAGCUUUGAGGUUUGGAUUGAUGAAAACCAGUGGAAAGAAGUGAAAGUCUUCAAAUCCUGUUACCAAUAAAAUGAAUCAACUUUCUUCUUUGGGAGUUUUACAAUUGACUUGAACAGAAUCAGAAUUGAAAGUGUGAACUCUCGUGAAGUCAGAGGGGGGAAGAAGUAAAUCAGGAGUAAUGUCACUGAUGCUGCAAGACUUCUGCAUAUGCAGCUGCUAUAAAUUAGAAAAGAAUGGAGCCCUCAUUCAAGUUUCAUUUACUUCAUCUAAACUCAUCAGGCUUCUGUCGGACACGAGGCAGCACAUUACACCUAAUCCCUUUUAAACAGAUUUUUUUUCUCAUUAAAGUCACUGGGAGCUUUGCUACUGAGUCACCUCAAAGGAAGAAUGACUUGUGUGUUAAGGGAAAAAGCUGUUACCCUACUAUGAACGGGAAAUAAAAUUUGCAUAAAAUGUAUGAUUGAAGUCUCUGCACAAACACACACAUACCACACACACAAGUUUUCACAUAGUGCACAAUUUGUACAAUGUGUGCAUAUGUGGAGAGGAAGAAAAAAAGUCUUUUGGAAAACAAGAAUGACGACCAGUAUGCACAGUGAAGCCAGCUACACAAUUAUUUAACUUGGUCAGAUCUUUAAAGACAGCAAACUUUUUACAUGUAAAUUUACUACAUGAUCUAUUGAACUAAAUAUUUUAAUGCAACUAGAACAAGAGUACAUGUGUUAAGUGAAGAAAAAAUCAUUGUUUUUUUGGUGGCGUAGUAGAUUUCAGGUUUCUGGCACUUCAAGAUAAAUGUAUUACGUUACAAUAAACUUCUUCGCUAAUCAGAAUCUGUUUCUAUU